GUGUGGAAAUACCCCGACUUGUGUACUGUUUCUACAAGCGUCUAUAGUUGAAAUCGAUCACCAUGUAACGCCAGCCGCACCCGCUCGGACGCAAUGUUUACGAUCCGUGCCUUGAGGUCUGUGUGUGCGUAGCUACCACGCCCACACUGUGUCUGGCCUCUUCCCUACGCCCACGCCUCUCUCCCCACGCCCACGAUGGUGCGUGUCCUGGUGGUGCUGAGAGGCGGCUACCCGUGGGGGUUCCGCAUGCAGGGAGGUGGAGACAAGCCCCUGAUAGUGAGCAAGGUCACCUCAACUGGGAAGGCGGGCGGCGCGGGCGUGCGGGCGGGGUGUGCGGUGAAGGCCAUCAACGGCACGCCCACGGCCCAGCUCUCACUCUCCCACGCCCACGCCCUCACCAAACAGGGCUCGACGCUGACCCUCGAGAUCGACGAGUGGGGCCACCAGACGGGAUCUGCAUACUCCAGUACUGGCCUCAACUCCAGUGAGGAGCCACGAGUGGCAUCUCUCUCCAACAACUCCCUCAGCUCCUCCACCUCCACCUCCUCUACCGUCGUCGCCGCCAACGGCCACAUCUCCUCCAGACGUAGAACAGAGAGUGGCAGUAGCGGAGAGCGCGGCAGAGAGCCUCGGCCCGACGACCACUCCGACAAGGACAAAUCAGAGGACUCCUCAAAUGCAACAGUCAUCAUCCUUGAGACUUAUGGAGCCGACCCUGAUCUCCUGAGAAGCGACCAAGAAGAGGACUCCACCGACAGCGGGACCGAUGCCACUCAAGACUUCUCGCUAGAUCCCAGUGAUUCCUCCCUCAACUUAUCCAACAUAUCAGGAACCUCAGAUCUCGACUUCGGUACAACUUCGCGGGGCUCAAACGAAAGUGACGAGGGCAGCUCCACAGACCAGGGUUCCCACACAGACACCUCAACCGACACCCUGGUCGCCGACGACUCCCAUUUCCAGACAAGUCGUACCGACCAAUCAGAGGAGGCAUUCGUGGAAUACGACCGGGCAACGGGUGCGUUUAUCGAGUAUCCGGAAACACGUGUAACAUACAACGAACAGGGCCGUACUUCCGGUGGUCUUGAAGACCACACAGGGACCUACGGGACGUACAGAGAACUUGACCAAACAUUCGGCGUCUUCGUAGAAUACUCAGCCCUAAAGGAGACUUACCGCGAGAAAGACCUGAUCACAGGUGCACUCAUAGAGUACCCGAACGAUAAUAGUGACGACGAGAGACUCACACGGACCCCGACGUUGGAGGAUUCGAGUUUCUUCGACGAGAACGGCGACUCAUUCUUCCUAAAUUUUGAAGAAGAGUUAAAACAAGUGGAAGUACAAUAUCCCGAUUUACGAGCCGAGCACUUGUUGAGUAAUCAAGAGGAGGAAGAGGAGGAAAUAGAAGAGGUUCCCUUGUGGUUGUAUGAGACAGCCAAGGAGGGAGCACGGUACUCCACAAUCCCCGAGGAAGGCGAGGAAGAGGAGACAGUUGUGUUGGUGCCACCAGGGAAGCUGGAGGCGACGGCAAUGGGACAGUACUACUCCAGUGCCUCUGGAGGUGGGCCCUCAGGGGGCGAAGUGUCGGGUUCUUUAGCGUCGUCGCCUCGGUCUUCAGAAGAGUGGAGGAUGUCGAUGGCCUCCACAGCUACGGUGGCAUCCACUGGCACUGCAGACUCAGAUGACACUCUUGCCAAGGACAUGUCGGAGCUCUCGUCUGUCAACUCGCGGCUCUCCAGCCUCGACGAAGCACACGACGAGAAGAAAAGUCCUCACAUAAGUCAGUCUGUAAUUGACCCAAAAGCCACAUCUAAGGGAACGGCACAACCUGAUCACAAACGACAGACGAGCAUCAAGGAUGCAAUUGAUGAACUUGAAAGCAUUGAACAAGCAGCGCAAACAUUGCUUCAGAAGCGCCAGUUCUCCACUGAGGAUGAUCGACCAACGCUCGUCACCGCCACCGACACGCCAACUAUCCACCCUUACUGUGCUAGUCUUAUCAAAGUUAAUCCUAAUGAAAAGUUGAGUCCCCAAUCAAAGCGGAAAGUAUUACCUAACCUUCCUGAGAUAUCCGAAGGGAUAACUAAGGAAAUUUCAGCGAUGAAGCCUGACAAGGAGGUACACCUUCAAACAACAGAAGCCUCAACUUCUCCAAUAAGUUUGGUUAUUAAUGGGGAUUCAACUGCAAAAGGGGCAAAAAUGGAGUCUGAGACCAGAUCAGAAAUCAAACCCCCACUGCCCCCUGCAGCAGGGAGUCAUUCACCUAAGCAAGAGGUGAAGCGACGGUUCUGGUCCAGACCUAAGGAAUUACAACCUUAUAUAUCGCGGGAGUCAUACAAUGAAGAGCGUAUACUGAAGGAGCUCGAGAGACUUCGGCGGAGCUAUCAAGAAGGGGAUUUAAACGACUUCUUAGACGCCCUAGAAAACACCCCUUUUUCUGAUGACAUUGAAGAGGCUUUCUUGCGUCAGUUAUUGGUGGAUAUCGGUGAAGAUGUUGAGGGUUUGCCACAGGAAGUCGAGGAUUCAGCUCAACCACAGGAAGAGACACAAGUGGAGCAGAUGGAACCUUCAGCGAAGCCCAUACACGAGGUCCCAACAGAAUCUCCUCGCUCUUCCUUAACUGCAGGAAAAUUUGAAAAAGUGAAAGAGAGAAUUGUGAAUAUUAUAACAGUACGCAGAGCAGGAAGAGUAAUAGAUACCGGAAACUGUGAAAAGACCAUUACUCCAAAAGAUGAUACCAAAACCUUAACUGAUUCACCUGAGGAUUCAGGUCGUUCAGAAACAUUACAGUCCAUCAGCCCAGUAACUCCUCAAUCAUUAAUACCAGACACAACAGAUUCCAAAUCCAGCAGACCGCAGACUCCAGAUGUCACUAAAGAUGAUGGUAAGAAAAGUUUCAACAUCGCCGACCUCCUGAAGAAAGGCUCACCAAAGUACCUCCGUAAAAAGUACAAGGAGCGAAAGAAUCGUAAGUCGGAUCUGAUGACCACGUCAGAAAGCGAGAGUGAAGACCCAGACGGAAGCAAAAAGGAAACUGGCUACAGCAACUCUACCUCUCAAAAGAAAAGUUCAUUUACAGAAAGUCAAUCGAGCCUAAAAGGAAGUAACAGAUCCUUAAAUUCUUCACAAGAACUCAAAAAGGAAGUUCGGUUUGAUCUUGAUCCGGAUGGGCAAAGGAAAGGGUUGGAAGAAUCUUCAGGUAAAGACACAAAAACUGAAUUCGUGACACCAAUGGUAGUGGACAAAGUGGCAAAUCACAAGUUUUCUGGUCCUCAGAUGAUAACAUGUGAAGCACAGCUACAAGAAACUAUUAUUCUGAAAGAGUUUGAAGAGACAACUGAGGAGAUUGAGAGUGAUGUGUCUUUCACGCUGCCGGCCAUGGUGGAGGACAUCAACAGCCGAGCUGAGACUUUACUUCCCAGGCUUCCUGAGCGGGUUAGACCUCCAAGGAAGAAGAAGAGGUUUAUCCCUGCCCCUGUUGAGGAGCUGAGCGCUGGAGACCUUUCUGUUGGCGUGACGUCGCCCGUCGCUUCGUGUGGAUCACAAAAAGGCGGAGAAUCUAACACUGAAUUUUUAGUAAUAAAUACAGCAGCCAAAGAGGAAUCUCCACCGCCCCUUCCUCACUAUGAAGAACUUAUGGAUUUGCCAAAAACUACACCCAAGUGUGUAGAAGUUGUUGAAAAAGCCAGCUACGAGGACAUAACCUCGGUGGCAAAACAAGAAUUUGUUGACAGUACGGUUACCAAAGGAAUUAUUUCAUAUACCAAAUCAUCUCAACAAUUACCAUAUGUUGCCUGCACCACUAUUAUGACACAAGGCCCCAGUGCCGCUGCAACAUUGUCUACUCCUGUCACCAGUGCUGCACCGCCACAAACUAAUGAUUCCACUUUUGAUACUUUUGAAGAGUCCCUGAUUGUGGACACACCGCUGUCUGCAGUAGAGUCCGUACCUCCAACUUCAACACCUGCAGACUUUCCAACAACCAGCGUUUCUACCUCUGUUGUUGACGUGGAGGUUCUGGUGUCGCCAUUAGUUGUGACUACCGUAGCUUCUAUAUCUGUGGCCCCUGCGCCAGAGGAUGCCACGUUGCUGAUAUAUCCGGCAAGGACUUUGCCCCUUCCUGUGAUCCCCGAAUGCCUCCAGGAAGACCAGAUGUCCAUCCCCACGCCCAGCGAACCUACAGUCUCCUUCAGUAGUUAUGGAGGCUCUGCACCAACCACUCCGUACGAUGAGGAGGAAAAAUUACCUUCUCUUUACGACAAUGUCAAUCCAUUCGAGGAGAUGUUGGAGCUGGAAAACAAACUGCUUCAGGACGAUGCUUCAGAGCCUUCUACUGUGACUAGCACUGCUUCGGAACCUCCUAUUUUGACUAGCGCUGCUUCGGAACCUCCUAUUUUGACUAGCGCUGCUUCGGAACCUCCUAUUUUGAUUAGCACUGCUUCAGAACUUCCUACCGUGACUAGUACUGCUUCGGCACCUCCUGUCGUGACUAGCAUUGCAGUAGAAAUUGAAGAGGAGACAACGAAAAUAGAAACAGUUAUAGUUUCUCAGCUCUCGAAGGAUGAGAAUAAGAGUAACCAUUUUGGUCUUCCGCAGGAAGCUUACAAGAGCCCUGACAUUGAGAAGAGUGAAGUGGUGGAUAUUGAUGCACUAGCAGCACUGACUGUUGAGAUGUUCAGGUUUACACAAGACAUGGAUAAAAGCCUCCCACGGGAGGAAAGCAAGCCAGUCGACAGUUAUACAACAUCAGCUCCCAAAAUCAGUACUGCGCAAAAUACUUGCAAAUCAUACAUUAAAUCGACGUUGCCUACAGAGACAGCCAGUGGGGACUCGGCCACAGGGUGUGAGGUGUUACAGUCCUCGACCACAAUGCCUGGAGGCGAGGUAUCAAAAACUAAGCUUUCCAAAACACUCUCGCCCAAACAAGGUGAAUUAAAUAGUAAACAAACUAAAGAAACAGUGACCCAGACUGAGCCUGCCACCGCCCCUCGGCCCGUGGCUGUGAAGGAGAGAGCCACAAGCAGCACUAUAGCCAUACAGACUGAUGACACCAGGUAUGUCCUCAUGUCCGAGGCCUCCUCCCAGACUGACACCGAAUAUGAAACAGACUUGGAAACCGAAUCCGAAAUGGAAGAAAACGCGACAAACACAUACGACGCUAGCAAGUGGUUGUUCGGGCCGAGCAGAGACAGCAACCUUCCGCUGUCCACACCGAGAGAUCCCCAGAUGCAGGAGCUGCAUAGGCAACAGCAAGCGAUGAUACUAGAACUGCAGCAGCAGAAUUUGAUGCAAGAGCGAAGACAGAAGGAGAAACCUGAAGUGCCGCCAAGGCAGUUUCAAGAGAAGAUGCCCCUGAAGGUCGUGAACGAGUUGAAGACUGUGUUAUCUGAGGUGGAAGAAUCCGGCCCCAGGUUGAAGAAGGUCGCCGACCCGCCCCCACGCCGGGACACUGACUUCUCGUGGAAUAACGAUGAUCUGGCAACUAUCCCCGAGGAGGUGGUGGCGCCCAGUGCCAGGGCGGUGGGUGGGAUAGACGCGAGGCAGCAACCACGACACCUAGCCGACCCAUCCAUCUCCUCUCCACUCGACAAGCUCCAGGCACCGACCACCCAUCUGGAGAUCCCUGCUAAGCAUGUUAAAGCUUUGCAGGAACUUGGUCUGGACGAGUCGACCCUUCUGAGCGAGAUCGAACAGAUUCUCGGCUUCGGUUCGCUGUCUCGGAACCGAACGGAGAAACCGACCAACACAACUUCCUCCUCCUCUUCUCGGCCGGAUUCGUUCGAAAAACCGGUUAAGUUGGAAAAGCCGAACGAGAGGAAGCCUGGCGGAGAGAAGCCACGUGUUCCGGAACGCGAUUCGAGCAAAGGAGUCUGGUCCCCUGGGAGGAGUGAGGACGAAGGCACCAGAGCCUCUGGACCAUCCAAGAUCGACCUUCCAGACCUUCCGUCCUUCAAGGAUCAGCCUAGCGUGUGGAGCCCCGGCAGAGGCCAGAACAACACAUCAGGGUACAAUAGCCGGAUACACGACCCCCGCCCUGAUCACCCAUCUGGACGCGACCCUUCGGGGAGCGCGAGUCCAAGCCUGGGACGUAAGGAGUACCGGAAAAUUACGUACGACGGCCCCAUCACGCCCCAGAGACGUCCCUCUCAGGAGGGAGUGUCGACGCCCCGGCCGGAGGAGAGCUUCGCCUGGAAGGACAUCAACGUGGAGAAGGUCGCCCGCUCCCCGACCUCCACCUCGCUGCCCAAGGUCCAGAACCCCACCGUCACCCUCCUUCAGAAAAAGCGAGAUGACCCGCAUUCGACCCCAGAGGGUCAAAUUCCCGGAAAGCGACCAGAAUACCUGAAGCCUGAUGACACGGGCCCGAAAUAUAAGCCGGACGACAAAUUGUACGUCAUCAAGAGAGAGUACGGGUCCGAGGACGAAGAGGGGGGACGUCGCUUUGCUGUCCUGGGGCCGAAGAAGGUGCAAGGCGUGGGCCCCACCACUAACGACGGGGUCCCCACCACACUCAAGUCGGGUGUGAGAUCAGAGCAUCAAGGAGAGUGGUACAGGAGGAUGUUUGACUCGCUGCAUAAGGUCAAAGAUGACGACCACAUCAUCAUCAAAUACAAAGUCCCCAGAGCGCGGUAUGGCGGCUACCUGUCGGAGCCUGAAGGCUACGACUCGGACGUGGGGUCGUCCCGCUAUGCCACCCUUGACCGUCGUCGUCAGCACCACUUCGAGGUCGACCCCAUGACCUCCAGCCUGCCCAGGGACUACAACAGCAUCGAUCUGGACCCCUACAGCAGGAACACUAGCCGCUACGUGCACCAGCCGGGACGCAUCGAGGACUACGUUCCUGGGUACUCCUCGCUCUCCGAGAAGGAACUUAAGAAGAACCCGGAGGCUGACGUUAAACUAGAGUCCCACUCACAGGAGCCGCCGCCCGUCUCCGUCAAUCAUAGGUUCGGGUCACAGAAGAUGUCCAUGACCCAUGCUCUGAAAGAAUCCGGAUACGAGAGCGACAGUACCUUAGUCUUCAGGAAGCGAGAGGACGCCCGCCGUCAGAUACCCGACCCCAGGAAGACCAGCCAGGUCUACCGUCAGAUCCAACGAGGAGGUGACAUACCCUUCACAGGACUCCAGAAAGCCAACCCGCCCAGGCCCAGAGAGCCGGUAGUGGGUCCCCUGCCAUUCCCCUCCCUGUACGGGGGUCGCCAGGAGCCACCUGAACGCCCAGAAUCGCCUUACAAGUAUGAGUCUGGGGAGGUGAACAUCCACUAUCGUACCCCCGUCAGGAUCGAGCAGAAGGAGUCAAUCCCUGAGGAGGAGUUGGCUCGCCGUCAAGAGGAACACAUGAAGAAAGUUUACGAAAACGAGAGACGCAAAAAAUACUUGGCGGAGCUGGAAGACAUAGAACGCCGAAGACACACAGAUAAUUUUACACCAUUACAGAAAUCCCCAAUUCCUCUGAAUCGGUAUGAUGACGAGAGCAGUCUGGGCACUAUGCGUGGUGCCAGGACGCCAGAUCUCAAGCAAGUUGCAAAGGCAUUAUACAACUUUACUGCACAAAAUAAAAGGGAGCUAACAUUCAACAAAGGUGACGUUAUCUUCAUCCGCCGACAGAUAGAUAAGAACUGGUACGAGGGAGAGUUUAGAGGAUCAGUUGGUAUCUUCCCAUGCAACUAUAUUGAGAUUGUGCCUUAUGAAAAUGUUAAGACAUUAACCAGGAAACCAACAGAAGGUCAGGCAAGAGCCAGAUUUAACUUCCAGGCUCAAACCUCUAUGGAGAUGUCCCUCAGUAAAGGAGAAUUGGUUGUUUUGACCCGGCGUGUUGAUGAAAAUUGGUAUGAAGGGCGGAUAGGUAAUCGAAAAGGCAUCUUCCCUGUUUCUUAUGUCGACACUUUGGUAGAACCAGGCAGUGAUAGACCCAGGGCGACCGGGAAGUCAAAAUGAUUCUAGACCCUACAAUCAAUCCCUUACUGUCAACACCCAACAGGAACCUGUAGCGUACCGAGCGCUAUACAACUACAAACCCCAGAACGAUGACGAGUUGGAGCUUCUGGAAUCGGAUAUCGUAAUGGUUAUGGAGAAGUGUGAUGACGGCUGGUUCGUUGGCACUUCUCGUAGGACUGGUCUCUUUGGCACCUUCCCCGGAAACUAUGUUGAGAGGGUCUGAAACAAAAAGAAAAUAGCCUUAGGCCCAAAGC
rnacentral:misc_RNA from 1 species